ensembl:lncRNA
UUUGAAAGAAGGUCAAAUGGAUUUUGUCUUUUCUAGACUAAAACAUCUAUGAAUAACAUGGUCAAUUUUUAGGGAUAUAAGGGACUUUUUUUUUUAAUAAUAGGCAAAUAUCUUAUAUGAAGCUUACGAAGUGUGGAAUAGAUAAGUGGACAGUGAGGUGGAUAGAGAACUGUCUGACUGGCAGAGAUAAGAAGGUUGUGAUCAGUGGUGUAGGUUCUGGUCGGAGGACUGUAUACAGUGGUGUUCCCCAGGGGUCAGUGCUAGGUCCAGGCUUCUUUAACAUCUUAAUCAAUGACCUGGUUGAAUCAUAGAAUCAUAGAAUCACCAAGGUUGGAAAAGACCCACAAGAUCAUCCAGUCCAACUAUCCACCCAUCACCAAUAGUUCUCGCUAAACCAUGUCCCUCAACACAAUGUCCAAACGUUCCUUGAACACCUCCAGGGUCGGUGACUCCACCACCUCUCUGGGCAGCCCAUUCCAGUGCCUGACCACCCUUUCAGAGAAGUGGUAUUUCCUAAUGUCCAGCCUGAACUUUCCCUGUUGCAGCUCGAAGCCAUUCCCUCUUGUCCUAUCACUAGUCACCCAAGAGAAGAGGCCAACCCCCAGCUCACUACAACAUCCCUUCAGGUAGUUAUAGAGAGCAAUAAGGUCUCCCCUGAGCCUCCUCUUCUCCAGACUGAACAAUCCCAGCUCCUUCAGCCGCUCUUC